UAAAAAAAUAUUAAAAUCAUCACAAAUAUAUCUCAAAUACAUCUCAAUUCAAUCUUAAUUUUAUCUUAGUUAAAAUCCUAUUGGACUUCAUUCAAACUUUAGGCUAAAAUUAAUUAAAUUUUAAAUCCUAAACAAAUCCUAAUAAAAUCCUAAAUCCUAAAUCAAUUUCUAAACCCUAAACCAAACCCUAAAUCUUAAACCAAAUCCUAACCAAAUCAUAAAUCCUAAAUCAAAUCCUAAACAAACUUUAAACCAAAUUCCAACCAAACCCUGUAUCAAAUCUUAAAUCCUAAAUCAAAUCCUAUCCGAAUCCUAAAUCAAACCCU
rnacentral:lncRNA from 1 species